GGUGGGACCUGCCAGAUUCAAGCUUCUCGUGGACCUGCAGAACAAUGGUUACUGACAUACAGCCAUGGGAAGGACUCCAAAGCAGGCAGACGGUCUUUACACAUUUUAAAAAGAGACACACUCACGCCAGGAUAACUUUCUGAUGUGACAGUGAGCUCCAAUUAAACCCAUGGAACACCUGUUUCCACGAUUCUCUUGGCUGGGUGCCCAUCUUCCCGAUUCCUCGAUGCGGAGUGACAGUGUGAUUUGAAAUGGCUUUCCAAGCUUUCUCUCCUCGUACACAGGAAGUCAGGAACUCACACAGGGCAGGAUCCCGGAGGCAGGAGCUGAUGCAGAGGCCAUGGAGGGGAGCUGCUCACUGGUUUGAACAAGCAAGCGAGAUCUUGUAGAAGCGUAUGUGGCACUCAGCGUGUGGUUAAUGGCAAUGGCCCAUCGUUGCAGCUGUUUCUCCGGGUCAUGCUGCUCCAGAUAUGGAGCUGCCUGCCUGCAUCUUUGAGGACUGUGAAACUCUUGAAGCAAAGAACUCUGGGAAGAGCUCCCUGUAAUUCACACUUGUUCCAGCCUUUCUUGUCUCAACAGGACUGCAUUUCCAGACAAGGUAUCACAUGUUGUCUUCUGUGCUGAAGCCGUUCCGUGUGGACCUGGAUCAGUGAAUUCACUUCAUAGAGAAUCGAGAACAGGUGGACACUCCAAGGCCUGCAGCUUUAGGAAGAGGGUUCUCUAUCAGUCGCAG